CUUAAGCCCUUAGAGUUUGAUCCUGGCUCAGGAUGAACGCUAGCUACAGGCUUAACACAUGCAAGUCGAGGGGAAACGAUAUUGGAAGCUUGCUUCCGAUAGGCGUCGACCGGCGCACGGGUGAGUAACGCGUAUCCAACCUGCCCAUCACUUGGGGAUAACCUUGCGAAAGUAAGACUAAUACCCAAUGACGUCUCUAGAAGACAUCUGAAAGGGAUUAAAGAUUUAUCGGUGAUGGAUGGGGAUGCGUCUGAUUAGCUUGUUGGCGGGGUAACGGCCCACCAAGGCGACGAUCAGUAGGGGUUCUGAGAGGAAGGUCCCCCACAUUGGAACUGAGACACGGUCCAAACUCCUACGGGAGGCAGCAGUGAGGAAUAUUGGUCAAUGGGCGAGAGCCUGAACCAGCCAAGUAGCGUGCAGGAUGACGGCCCUAUGGGUUGUAAACUGCUUUUAUAAGGGAAUAAAGUGAGAGUCGUGACUCUUUUUGCAUGUACCUUAUGAAUAAGGACCGGCUAAUUCCGUGCCAGCAGCCGCGGUAAUACGGAAGGUCCGGGCGUUAUCCGGAUUUAUUGGGUUUAAAGGGAGCGUAGGCCGGAGAUUAAGCGUGUUGUGAAAUGUAGACGCUCAACGUCUGCACUGCAGCGCGAACUGGUUUCCUUGAGUACGCACAAAGUGGGCGGAAUUCGUGGUGUAGCGGUGAAAUGCUUAGAUAUCACGAAGAACUCCGAUUGCGAAGGCAGCUCACUGGAGCGCAACUGACGCUGAAGCUCGAAAGUGCGGGUAUCGAACAGGAUUAGAUACCCUGGUAGUCCGCACGGUAAACGAUGGAUGCCCGCUGUUGGUCUGAAUAGGUCAGCGGCCAAGCGAAAGCAUUAAGCAUCCCACCUGGGGAGUACGCCGGCAACGGUGAAAUGGUUCAAGACGGAAGGGCGAA
rnacentral:rRNA from 1 species